AAAGGUAUGUUGUUCAAAAAAAAGCUGCUAACUUUUUAUUUAGCGGUUAAAUUCCGUUUAUACCUUU
rnacentral:tRNA from 1 species